CAGGUGGACAAGUGAAGGAGCUGGGGUUGAGCCCUGUCCUGCCUCCUGGAGACCCCAGUGACAUCCAGCCUGCUGGGCUGGCCAUCAUGAGCCUAUGGUCUGCCAGCGUCUGCCUCCUUAUGAGAGCCGCAGGGACCUGCGGGAGGCUAGGAAGGGGCAUGGAGAGCUGCGAAUUUAUUGAAGGGAAACUCCUGUAACAAAUACGGCCACCGGACAAAGGACCUUGUGUGUCUUUUUAAAGGAACAAUUUGGAGCUUUUCUGAGCUGCGUGACCACGGGCACAUCACGUAGCUCCUUGAAGCCUUAGUUUCCUCUUCUGUAAAAUGGGCACAGUCAUGAUAACCUUCUAGGUUGCUGGGGUCAUUCAUUAAGUUGAUGUCAGCAGAGCAUUUAUCACAGAGCUGGCUUAUUGAAGCUGCCAUCGUGAUCUGAUGACAUUUAGGGUCCUCUGCUUAAAGCCCUCCAAGGGCUCCCCCCUCACUCGGGUAAAAUCACCAGAAAGGCCAUGCAGGACACACCCCCGCUCCUGCUGGCAUUAGGUCUGCCCCCUCCACCCCGGUCUUCAUUUCCUAUGACUGCUGUAAUACAUGACUGCAGACUUAGUGCCUUAGAAUGA
rnacentral:lncRNA from 10 species